CCAAUCCCUCCGAGGAUAUGGGUGGUUUGUCCCCCCCCCAAUACGACCCACAGGAGCGUUUCAUAAAGAAGCGCCCCCUAGUGGUGGCCGGAAAUACGUCCUCAUAUUUAAACCAGAGAAGGUA